GACGAACGCUGGCGGUGUGCUUAACACAUGCAAGUCGAACGGUAAGGCCCUUUCGGGGGUACACGAGUGGCGAACGGGUGAGUAACACGUGAGUAACCUGCCCUCAUCUCUGGGAUAACAGUCGGAAACGGUUGCUAAUACUGGAUAUGAGCCUGCAAGGCAUCUUGUGGGUUGGAAAGAUUUUUUGGUUGGGGAUGGACUCGCGGCCUAUCAGCUUGUUGGUGAGGUAGUGGCUCACCAAGGCUUCGACGGGUAGCCGGCCUGAGAGGGCGACCGGCCACAUUGGGACUGAGAUACGGCCCAAACUCCUACGGGAGGCAGCAGUGGGGAAUAUUGCACAAUGGACGGAAGGCUGAUGCAGCAACGCCGCGUGCGGGAGGACGGCCUUCGGGUUGUAAACCGCUUUCAAUUGUGACGAAGCUUUUUGUGACGGUAGCAGUAGAAGAAGCACCGGCUAACUACGUG
rnacentral:rRNA from 1 species